UCUAAAAGUAGUACUGACUUCUAUUAAUGUCUUCCCUUGGAAUUAAGCGUGCCUUUGGAUGUAGAUUUGGAGGAUGAACCCGUGUUUGAAUUGCAAGAGAAAGAAUGAUUGAUGCACGCUUAUAGGGCCGUUGUAGCUCAGGUGGAGCAGCUGUUGGAAUUUGGGAAGCUUCUUGGGGCUUCUUACGGAGCGGAGCAAGAGCCCCAGUUACGAGAUUGGUUUAAUUCCUCACUUGUCAACGAAGUGAAGGCUCAUACCCCUCGGAACGAUAUGUGCUUGGAGGUGGAAAAAGCGGUGGAGACAGAAAGUUCCUGGUCAGAUGUUUCAGCAACCUCUACUUCGGGCACUCGCAGCACCAGGAAAAGGGGUAAUAGAGGCAGAGGAAGAAACAGUGUGGCCCGUUAAUUUGCGGGCCAGGUUCUUUCUAGUUUUUUGGGGUGUUUUUAAGGUCCGUUUGGUUUGAGGUAAUAGGAGUCUGGAAUCGGAAUUGGAAUGGCCCAUUUCCAUUUCAAGUGCUUGGUUGAUCGGAAUGGAAAUCCCAUUCCCAUUCUAUGGGGGAAUGGCCAUUCCUGACCCUCCCCAGGGAAUGUGAUUCCCAUUCCGGUUUAUGGUUUUUUAAUUUUUUGGACAAAAAUGCCUUCCUCAUUUUCAAUCCAGUCGAAGAGACGAAACAGGAGAUUGGAGUUUCCCCAUUUUCAAUCCAGUUGAAGAGACAAAACAGAGAUUGCGAGAACUCCAAGCCUUCUUCCAUCGCCGAACAGAGAGCUGAACCAACCUCUGGCGAGGUAAAACAACUGCUGAACCAUUCUCCACCACCACCACCACCUCCUCCUCCUCCUCCUUCGAAAUUAACCGCAUGCUCUGAUUGAACCAACCUCCGGCGAGAGUCUUCAUCUAGAGCACCGAUCGCUGCAGUAGUUCAAAGGGAGAGAGAGAGAGAGAUUAAGGGCGAGUGAUUCAAAAUCAAAGCUCGUCUCAAAUCUUCCCCUACAACAUCCAUCGAUUCCAAGCCAAUAUUCUAACAGGUGUGCCGGCAUGACAUGGCAUGACGGCAUGGGGGUGUGCCAGAUCCUGCAUGAGGUCCAUGGGCUGGCACGACACUAUGUGUGCCACGCCGCUUGUGGCCCACGUGCCAGCAUGGCCCAACCUGCGGCAUGACACGCACUGUGGGCUAGCACUACACGACCCACCUGACGAACUAGCUAAUUUCAACAUUUUGGGGUUUUUUUAUAGA